rnacentral:tRNA from 1 species
GGAUGGUUAGCUCAGCUGGGAGAGCAUCGCCCUUACAAGGCGAGGGUCACUGGUUCGAUCCCAGUACCAUCCACCA